UACGAAGGGGGCGAGCGUUAUUCGGAAUCACUGGGCGUAAAGCGUGCGUAGGCCGUCUAGCAAGUUGGAAGUGAAAGCCCAGGGCUCAACCCUGGAAUUGCUUUCAAAACUGACAAGACUAGAGUCCGGGAGAGGAUAGCGGAAUUUCCAGUGUAGUAGUGAAAUACGUAGAUAUUGGAAGGAACACCAGUGGCGCAAGCGGCUAUCUGGACCGGUACUGACGCUGAGGCACGAAAGCGUGGGGAUCAAACAGG
rnacentral:rRNA from 1 species